rnacentral:lncRNA from 1 species
UCAGCUCGUGGCUGGUCGAAUGGCUGCUUGCUGGAUGCUGCUGGAAAGGUUCGUCUGCCCUUGUCCUACUUCGGGAUACCUCAUCCGGGGCACGUUGGAUCCCGAUGCGUUGCAAAAGUUGAUUCACCAAAGUUGUCUGUUGUGCAAGGUGCUCGUCAACUCUAAUGACUUGUCGAGACAAGUGUUGUUUCGCCAUUUGGAUUGGAAGAGCUUGGAAGGAAUGCGCCUCCUUGAGUAGUGGAAGGGUGGUAGACUCCGGGCGCGAGAUUUGAGUUGGGAAAUGUCAAAUCCGUAAAAAAAUGUGGUGAGAAUGCCCCCGGCUCGAUGGUAGGUCCAGAUGGUUGAGAUAGUUUUGGGCCGACUUGGGCUGCUUGGCAAGCCACGGGAGCAGUGUGGGCCUUGAGAGUGGGCUGCUCGUCGGGAGUGGGCUGCUCGUUGGGAGCAGGCUGGGUCACGAGAGCAGGCUGCUUGGCAGGAGCAGGUUGCUUGGCGGGAGCAGGCUGGGCCACGGAAGCAGGCUGCUUGGCAGGAGCAGGUUGCUUGGCGGGAGCAGGCUGGGCCACGGAAGUAAGCUGCUUGGCAGGAGCAGGCUGGGCCACGGGAGUGGGCUGCUUGGCAGGAGCAGGCUGGGCCACGGGAGUGGGUUGCUCGACGGGAGCAGGCUGGAUCACGGGAGCAGGCUGCUCAAUGCGCGGUGCAUGUGAAUGCGAGGCUUGGGCUUGGGUCCACGUGAACUUGGAUGGCACGGCUUGGAUCGUGGUCUUUGGUACCGUGAGCCUUGGAUGGCACGGCUCGGGCCGUGGUGAAGGCUCCAUGGACCUCGCCACGAGUGGCUACCGAAGUAGCCAUCGUGGUGGUUCCCAUGGUGGCCGUGGUGAAGGCAUCAUGGACCUCGCCGUGGGUGGCUACCGAGGUAGCCACCACGGUGGUUCCCAUGGUGGAAGCUCGUGGUGAUGAUGCCGCUCCC